AUCAUGCCCUUUAUGUCCUGGGCCUACACACGGUGCUACAAUGGUCGGUACAACGAGAAGCAAGCCAGCGAUGGCAAGCAAAUCUCUAAAAGACCGAUCCCAGUUCGGAUUGCAGGCUGCAACUCGCCUGCAUGAAGUCGGAGUUGCUAGUAAUCGCGGAUCAGAAUGCCGCGGUGAAUGCGUUCCCGGGUCUU
rnacentral:rRNA from 1 species